rnacentral:lncRNA from 1 species
GCUUGCUGUCAAUAAAUAUGUGGGUAAAUCUCUGUUUGGGGCUCUCAGCUCUGAAGGCUGUGAGACCCGAUUUCCCACUCCACACUCUGUAUUUCUGUGUGAGUGUCUUUAAUUCCUCUGGCGCCGCUGGGUUAGGGUCUCCACGACUGAGCUGAUCUCAGUAUCUACCACAUUCUGCUUUAUUCUCUUCUCUAGGGUAAGAAAAAUCACAAUACAUGGGUAUUCAAUAAAAUUCAAUUAAUUUAAGCCUGACUCUUGAGAAUGUGCAAUUGAAGGUUAUGAAUGUGUCACACCUAAGGUGGUGGUAGAAGUCUCUGGCACAUGGAAAAUGCCUGUUUUAACUUUUAGCUAUUUUUUUCAGGUUUUUGUCAUUAGAAUAUUUCUUCUGUUUCUACUGCAAAUAACUAUCAAAAAGGAAAAGAACAACUAGGAUGGCCUCCCCUGUUUAUCAUUGGCCCUACAAUUUUCUAGGAGUAAUAUCUUUUUGGAAUUAUGUAAUGUCCUCUGCUAAUGACAGUGUAUAGAUGCUAUUACAUUUCCUUGGGGGACAAAGUACUGUUGUCUGGAAGCUUUGAGAUUAAUGUAACACAAAGUAAAUAAGGAAGCGUUUUGCAUAUUCUUAGAUUUUUACAUUUUUAUUUUAAAACAGAGAAUUUCAUAUUGAUUAACACCUACUACUAAACAGAAUGAUGCAUUAAUUAAAUGCCUUGUCCUAACUGUUAUAAGCUCUGUUAGAAAAAUAAACAUCUCACCACAAACUACAGUGUCAGCUCUUUAAUAAAUACAUAAAACAGAAGUUAGUAGUCAAUCAGAGUUAUAUGAACAGGUUCAUAGUAUAUUAUGUGAAAGUAUCAUAUUCUCCAAUAUUCUGUAUCAUUUAAGACAAUUUAAGUUACGUAUAAUUCAAAGCCAGAAAUAAUAAGAAAUAUGUUCAGUGAUAAUUUGCUUCUUUCUUAGAGCUAUUUUAUAUUCAAAUAUUUAAUUUAAAAAUAUAUUCUAUAUUAAAUUUAUUUUUACAAACGCAGUAUUCGUUAGGUGAAACAAAAUAAGUUUUUAUGUUACUGAUAAGUUUAAUACAUUUCUAAUUUUUUUCAGAAGUUCAAGAAACCAUAAUGAAGUAGCUAAUGUAAAAUAGUUUAAAAGCUAUGUUAAAUAUACACAAAAUGAAUUUCUAUAUUAAUAUGUGCAAAUGUAUAUUUUCUUAUAAUUUAGAAUUAAAGUACUUUAUACUCAAUAUUCUUAAUAAAAUUUAUGUACCAUACUUGUCAUUGCGUAGACUUCUUAUCAAAAUUUCACAUUUAUCUGUAGGAAAAUGUAAAGUUGGUAAAAAUUGUUUACACAAAUCACACAUUUUCCAUCCUUGACAAUUGCAGUGUUUUUUUUUUAAAUAUUGCUGUAUUAGACAAUUUUAACUGAAGUAGGUUGUAGAGGCUAGAAGAAACCUGAUUAAUAGAGUUAGCUUACAAAGAUAAAUUUUAUGCAGAAAAGUAUUCCAGGUAGAUAAAAGAGUAGUGUUAUUACUCUCAGGUUUACAUUAACAGCUGCCCAGAUAGCUGAACAAUUAUUUCAUAUAAUUCAAAUAAUUUAAAUAUGCAGUUUUAUAACAGUCGUUACAUAAGCUUGAAGUUAAAGUGAUCAGAGCCAAGGGGGAAAAACCCACAAAUGAUAAAGAAGAAUAAAAAGUAAGAGGACUCUAGAAGAAAGUUGUUUUUCACAGCACUGAUUGUUUUUAUCAUAUUUUUCUCCUGCCAUUGAUACAAGACAUGUAAGAUGCUGCAAAACCUAACUAUGACAGUUCCAUGUAAUAUUUUUCCAGUUAAUUUUGUUUAAAAGUGAGAUGAUAAUAUAAAAGGAUCUCAUAUAAUAGAAUAAAAAUAAUAAAAAUUUGUUAAUGAAACGUAGACAUACCUACCCAUUCUUGUUAGUUAAGUUAGGGUUUGCUGAAAUCAUUCGCACUCACGUAAAGUAUAAAUGGGGACCUGAAAGAGCUUUUGUAAACUCAAGAUAUGCGGGAUCUGAGCUGAUAAUCAGUUAGGCUUAUUAAGCUUGAAGCUUUAGGAAAUCUCUUGGGAAGAGUGAGUGGAAAAAACAGGAGUAAGAAAAGGAAGAAAAAGCCUUUGAGUCUAAUCUACUCUACCAGGUUCCAGGAAGAAUAUAAUUCUACAGAGAAAAUUCUUCAUAAUCUAUCAUAAUAUAUUUCAGUGUCUGAUGGCUGACUCUUGUCUUGCAUAAAGAUAUCUUCAGUGGAUAUUAAGUAAAUAUUAAAAAUAUAUUUCAGAUUCAUUCUUUGAAGGAUUGCAUCUCAUGCAUCCACAAAUUUUAAUGUUGAGUUUUGGAAAAUUGCCUCCAGAGAUAUCUACUGUGUUUAAUCUUAGAUUUUUUUUUUAUUUUAAUAAACCAAAGAUAAACUGAACAUUUAAGACAUAAUCAGAUUUUUAGUGAAUUUUUAAGUCCUCCAGAAAAGUCUAUGACUUAAUAAAUAUUAGCAAGUUUCCAAAAAUAUAACAAAUGUUUAUAAAUACGUGUGCACUGCAGUGCAAUGGUGUCCCCAGAGAAAUAAAAUGCAUAACAAAGCAAAUGUUAUGUUGUAGUGUAUGUAUGGCACAUUUAUAAAUCAUUACAUACUUUAGGGCACAAAAAUGCUGCAGUACUAAAAGUGUUGUUCAAGUUCUCAAUUCUGUUAACAAUUUAAAAUUUCAUUAAUUGUGUUUAAUAUCAAUGAAUCUCAAAAGGCUCCUGUGGCCAUAUUAGUUGAAAAUAGACUCUAUUUGCAUACAUUAUUUAACCUAAGAGUACCCUGUGUUCCCUUACCAUUUAAUUAAUUCUAACUAGUCAAAUAUUAAUUCUCAUCUCACAAAUCAUUACACAGGAAGAUAUCAAUUAUUCAAGUAAAAUACAAGCCCUACAAUCUUUAAAAAUUAGCUUUUUAAGUAAAAACAAAAAAGAUAAGCACAAGACUUUGCAAGCAUAACCACAAUCAUCGUCUAACACUGAGUUGCCUACAAGGAAGUUUGUCCCUUCCUAUGGUAACAGCCUUGGUCCACUAUAAAGUUAGUGCAAACAAGUGAGGGUAUAAAAAAAAUAUAAACUCUGGAUUUUUAAGGAUUUCAUUUUGUUAUACUCUUUUUGGAUAAUUCAUUCCAUACGGAAAUUUGUUUAUUGUUCAUAAAUAUCAUAAUGUUCAUUUCAAAAAUUGUCAUCAUCUUAAUGGCUAUCUUACACUUUUUUCUUUUGGAGGGUUGUCAGGCAUCCAUCCAUUUUCCUUUUUAAGAAGAACGUUAUGUGUAUUAGGCUACUAAACCCAAUUUUUACAUUAUUUUUAGUGAUCAAAGGUUUCUUAUACAAGUGACUCACAGUACUGAAUUAUGUCAAUCUCUCAUUUGAGGAAGGAAAUGCAGUUCAAGUUAGCAUUGAAAGUGCUUGGCUGUAGAGGACAUCUAACAGAGCUGCUGUGUUUAUUGGCUCCAGAACAACUUAUUAUAGGUUUUUCAGUUCUCUUUAGGGUAGAAUAUGAGAUGGGGUUAGUCUUCAUCAAAAUGCAGUAUCUAGUACUUUAACUCAAGUGCUGGAAGACAGCAAAUCUUGGAAGUUUAUUAUAAAAAAAAAGAUAUUUCGGAUAGAUUCCUUUGUUGUCAUGGGCAAAACUGUAUAUCCACACAGGACUGUUAGACUCCUAGCCAAUAAAAUCAGACUAAGUCCAUAGGGAUAAGGUAAGUGUAAAUAAAUUUCCAUUGGGGAAGACAGGGCUCAUGGCCCGUGUAUCAAGGUCUCAAGCUGAGCACUGGAGAACUCCAGGGAACACUGUUCAUACAGGCUAUGGUGCGAAGGAAUUCCCCUGUAGGUAUGCCAUACUUCAGUCUCUUAAGAAGCUGAUUAGCAUGAAAGACUGGAAGCUGAUUAUGGACAAUUCAGUUUGAAUUAUUCCUUUCUAUUUUGCUUUGAACUUUCCUCAUACACUUAAGACAUGAGUAAAUCACAUUGAAAAACAUUUGCCAAUUGAAUAUUUUAAAGAUUCAAGAGGUAGCAUGAUAUUGUGCAAUGAACACUGGCCUGACAAUGAGAAGAUAAAAACUCCUUUCCAAUGUGGCCACUUUAUCACUUGAGUGUUUUCUGAGAAAUCGUUUAAGUUUUCUGAGGCUCAGUUCCCUAACUCACUAAAAAGGAGAAUUAGCAGCCUGGCAUGGUGGCUCAUGCCUGUAAUCCCAACACUCUGGGAGGCCGAGGAGGGUAGAUCACCUGAGGUCAGGAGUUUGAGAUCAACCUGUCCAACAUGGCAAAACCCCGUCUCUACUAAAAAUACAAAAAUUAGCUGGGCACGGUGGUGGAUGCCUGUAAUCCCAGCUACUCAGGAGGCUGAGGCAGGAGAACUGCUUGAACCCGGGAGGCAGAGGUUGCAGUGAACCCUAAUUGCGCCAUUGCACUUCAGCCUGGGUGACAAGAGUGAAACUCCGUCUCAAAAAAAAAAAAAAAAAAAAAAAAAGCUUAUUUCUAAGAUAUCAUCUAUUCUCCAAUUUUGUACUUUUAUGAAUUCUGGCAAGAAGGGUUGGAGUGAUUCUGGGAAAGAACAUCCUUAGGCUGCCUUGAAGGGAGAAGAUAAUAUAGCUUUUCAUUUAAAAAAUGCUGAUAUCUACUUGCAAUCAAAAUCUAAGAAAACAUUCAAAAUGUGGUACUUUGCUUGAGGCAGAAUUUCUAACUAUCUUGUGAAUUAAUGAUAAGAUAAAUGAAAUGGCCAAACAAUCCCUUCAGUUUACCAGGUAAGAGGAUACAAAACUCCACACUUGUGCACAAUGAAGCUAUUCAGGUUUUGAUGAUACUUUACAGUGUCCCCUAUUAACAUUCAGCUUUUAAAACUAGUAUUCUGAUAAAGUGACAUUGUAUUAUUAGUUUUUUAUGGCAGUAGUAACUUAGCACUUAAUUAAUCCAGUCAUCUGUGACAUACAUAAACUUAUCCUGUAAAAAAGA